GCGUCGCCGCGGGAAUACGUAGGGUGCAAGCGUUAAUCGGAAUUACUGGGCGUAAAGCGUGCGCAGGCGGUCCGUUAAGACAGAUGUGAAAUCCCCGGGCUUAACCUGGGAACUGCAUUUGUGACUGGCGGGCUAGAGUAUGGCAGAGGGGGGUAGAAUUCCACGUGUAGCAGUGAAAUGCGUAGAGAUGUGGAGGAAUACCGAUGGCGAAGGCAGCCCCCUGGGCCAAUACUGACGCUCAUGCACGAAAGCGUGGGGAGCAAACAGGAUUAGAUACCCCUGUAGUCCCUGUCUCUUAUACA
rnacentral:rRNA from 1 species